rnacentral:sRNA from 1 species
GUCCACUGAACCUUAUCAUUUAGAGGAAGGAGAAGUCGUAACAAGGUUUCCGUAGGUGAACCUGCGGAAGGAUCAUUGUCGAGACCCGCRAGGCAGACCCGCGAACACGUUCCCACACUUACGGGACGACGGCGCGGGCGCGGCCGACAGCGCCGCCCCGCUYCGGAGGACCGCUCCGCCGACGCGCGCGCCAGCGCCCGUCGCGCGGCUCAACGAACCCCGGCGCGAGAAGCGUCAAGGAAAACUGGAAACGCGGCCCCCCCGGUGCCCCGUCCGCGGAGCGCACCCGGGGAUCGGGCUCGUGUCGGAAUCGAAACGACUCUCGGCAACGGAUAUCUUGGCUCUCGCAUCGAUGAAGAACGCAGCAAAAUGCGAUACUUGGUGUGAAUUGCAGAAUCCCGUGAACCAUCGAGUUUUUGAACGCAAGUUGCGCCCGAAGCCACCGCGCCGAGGGCACGUCUGCCUGGGCGUCACGCACCKCGUCGCCCCCCNGCCCGAGCUCCGCACGGCGGAAGCUGGCCCCCCGUGCGCACCCGCGCGCGGCCGGCCCAAAAGCGAUUCCGCGUCGRCGCGCGUCACGACGAUUGGUGGUAGAAGACCUCGACCCGCGCRUCGUCGUGYCNGAACGCGCCGUUCGCCCGGAACGUGUCGACCCCGAACGUGCUCCGCACCUCGACGGCGACCCCAGGUCAGGCGGGAUCACCCGCUGAGUUUAAGCAUAUCAAUAAGCGGAGGA